rnacentral:rRNA from 1 species
AGUGAACGCUGGCGGUAGGCCUAACACAUGCAAGUCGAACAGCAGCACAGGAGAGCUUGCUCUCUGGGUGGCGAGUGGCGGACGGGUGAGGAAUGCAUCGGAAUCUACUCUGUCGUGGGGGAUAACGUAGGGAAACUUACGCUAAUACCGCAUACGACCUACGGGUGAAAGCAGGGGACCUUCGGGCCUUGCACGAUUGAAUGAGCCGAUGUCGGAUUAGCUAGUUGGCGGGGUAAAGGCCCACCAAGGCGACGAUCCGUAGCUGGUCUGAGAGGAUGAUCAGACACACUGGAACUGAGACACGGUCCAGACUCCUACGGGAGGCAGCAGUGGGGAAUAUUGGACAAUGGGCGCAAGCCUGAUCCAGCCAUACCGCGUGGGUGAAGAAGGCCUUCGGGUUGUAAAGCCCUUUUGUUGGGAAAGAAAUCCAGCUGGCUAAUACCCGGUUGGGAUGACGGUACCCAAAGAAUAAGCACCGGCUAACUUCGUGCCAGCCGCCGCCGUAA